AUCAAAGCGUCGUCGUUCGCUCUUGCAGCUUUACACCUCUUCUUAGAGAGGAUGCACAGACAUCUUUCUGCUUUCCUCAGGGGAAGUAGGGGCUUUCAGAAGCCCGUCGUGUGAACGCUCUCAGGGGGCAGCCAGACCCCCAGUGCCCCGCAGACCGCCGUGCUGCGGGCUCGCUCGGAGAGGCGCCCUCCGCAGCCGCGGCGCAGCUCCCAGAGGGCCUCCCGCCUCGUUAGCACAACUCAAUAGGUAACGGCGCUGAUAAAAAACAUCAGGGUUUGGGAUGAUGAAUAACUCCCCGCCGGUGCCUCGAGUGGCAGCCACCUGACGUCCUUUGGGAAAGAACAAACUGCGGUGCUGUGGUCUUGUUACUCCGACACGUGCCCCGGGUAGGCGCCCGAAGAUGCCUGCAAACCCCGGCUUCCCAAAACUGGCUCUGUGAAGAGCAGUCGGUGUACCAGCCCUUACUGUAAAGGUCAUGAUCUUCUUACCUUUCCCGUGAGUUCACCUAAACUUGCCCCAAACCACUUUCUCUGGAGCAUACAAGAGUGUUUCUAUUAAAACGGUUCUAGGUCCGGAUUAAAACAUUUCAACUUUGCACCUGCUUGCAGGUUGGAUCAUCCCAACUAUAUUUGAAACACGGGGAAGGAAUUGUGGAACUCAUUGUGCACACAGCUGUGGUGUGCAGAUGGGAAAGCGAAUGGAGAGGCACAGCUCCCUCCUUCCGAUGUGCUGGAAAAAGAGUGCUGGUGCAGAACAUCCUCUUCUGGCAAACAGCUAAGCUCGGAGGUCGAGGUCUUCUUCCAGGGAAAGGGAGGAUGAAUGUUUUGUUGCACCAGGAGCCGUUUUUGUUUUAAAACAGGAGCUGGGGCU